CCGCCAACUUCUUCCCUAUCUCCCACGCAUUCACUGGCGUCAAGCCGCCCCACUUAAUUCUAGGUCUACACUCCUCACCCCUUCUCUUCCUAUCCUUCCUUAUACCCAAAUCCAUAACCAAGAGCCUAUGCUGAGUCGAAAGAUUCUCACUCGGGAUGACUUUACAGUCCUUACACAACACCCUAUCCCCUUUCCUAAGCAACAAAAAGUCAAUUUGGGUCUUGGCUAUCGUACUUCGGAAGGUGAUCAGGUGAUCGUCCUUCUUCGAGAAGCCCGAGUUCACCACCACCA
rnacentral:lncRNA from 1 species